rnacentral:rRNA from 1 species
GAUGAACGCUAGCGGCAGGCUUAAUACAUGCAAGUUGAGGGGCAGCAUGAUAUACGCGAGUAUAUUGAUGGCGACCGGCGGACGGGUGAGUAAUAGGUAGGAGACCUACCUCAUACAGGGGGAUAGCAUAGAGAAAUCUGUGGUAAUACCCCAUGAGGUUAUAUGAAUAGAGGCAUAUAAUCAAAGCAUAAGCGAUUAUGCGGUAUGAGAGGGGCCUACUGACCAUUAGCUAGUUGGUGAGGUAAGGGCUCACCAAGGCGAAGAUGGUUAGGGGUUUUGAGAGAGAGACCCCCCACAUUGGAACUGAGAGACGGUCCAGACUCCUACGGGAGCAGCAGUAGGGAAUAUUGGGCAUGGGCGAAAGCCUGACCCAGCCAUGCCGCGUGAAGGAGACGGCCUUAUGGGUUGUAAACUUCUUUACUACGCGAAUAGAGGUUAGUACGAGAUACUAAUAGGAAGGUAGUGUAGUAAAAAGCAACCGGCUAACUCCGUG